UACAGCAAAAUCAUUGUCCCAGCUUUGGGAAGAAAGCUCAGCUGGAAAGGUACAUUGUAUUGGGGGUGAUUAACUUGUGAAUUAAGCCAGACCCUGUAAAUAGGAAAAAUUCUACUUUUCUACUGUCUUCUACAGAACAACUGCUGUAUCUGCCAGAAAUCAGAACUGAGCCGAGUAAAGGGUACAUGGACUUGCAGACCUUCUGCUCAUCCAAAGCAGGAAUAAACCCCAAAAUUUCAAGAACUGUCUCAGAAAGGAGUUAUUUGUUUCUACUUCUAUUUUAUUAGAAGAUAUAAUCCAAAGUUGUUAGAAAAAGAAGGGUUUCCAGAGGAUAAAUAUGAACCAUUUUGUGCCAGGAACACUGAAACAGGCAUUUCAGCUCUGCUGGGACCAUCUUUCCACAGUUCCUCUUUUACCAGAAUGUCUCUCAGAUAUUUGGACAGAUAACCACAGCUAGUGGGCACAUAGCCACAGUUUUCUCCAUAAUGAGUCUCCAGACAUUAUCUGAUCAGCUGUCCAGCUAAUGGGUGCAUGCAGACAUUAGACUUUGUGCCAGCCUCGAUUUUUAUAGGCUUGCGUGCUGCACUGGGACCAGUCUCAGUUUUGGGUUGCUGGUAUGCUUGUUGCUCCUGUUUUUGCAAAAG